rnacentral:rRNA from 1 species
AUGAGAACACUUGGACUGGUGGCUGUGGAAAGAGCAAGGAAAAGGCAAGCCUCCAGGAUUACUUGGCUCAAAGCCGGAGAUGCACACACAACCUUUUUCCAAGCAAAGAUCAAUUCAAGGAGAAGGAAGAACUUCAUCCACUCCCUGCAAACUGAUACGAUCACUGCCACUGCCCAUGAAGACAAAGCUUCGGCUAUCCACAACCAUUUCUCUAACCUGCUGGGCAACAAGGAGAACAGAGGAGGAACACUCAAUUGGGACGAGCUUGACAUGCCAACGCUGCAAAACGAAGGACUGGACAACCCUUUCUCUGCGCAGGAGGUUUGGGCUGCAAUUCAGGCCUCCCCAGCAGAAAAAGCGCCAGGCCCGAUGGAUUCUCGGGCACUUUUUACCGAUCAUGCUGGGCCACGAUCAAAGACGAUGUUAUGGCAGUUUUUGACAGCUUCUAUAGGCUGGCUGAUGGAAAUUUCGCCGAGCUCAACACGGCCAUGA